rnacentral:rRNA from 1 species
GAGUAAUGCCUAGGAAUCUGCCUAGUAGUGGGGGAUAACGUCCGGAAACGGGCGCUAAUACCGCAUACGUCCUACGGGAGAAAGUGGGGGAUCUUCGGACCUCACGCUAUUAGAUGAGCCUAGGUCGGAUUAGCUAGUUGGUGAGGUAAUGGCUCACCAAGGCGACGAUCCGUAACUGGUCUGAGAGGAUGAUCAGUCACACUGGAACUGAGACACGGUCCAGACUCCUACGGGAGGCAGCAGUGGGGAAUAUUGGACAAUGGGCGAAAGCCUGAUCCAGCCAUGCCGCGUGUGUGAAGAAGGUCUUCGGAUUGUAAAGCACUUUAAGUUGGGAGGAAGGGCAGUUACCUAAUACGUGAUUGUUUUGACGUUACCGACAGAAUAAGCACCGGCUAACUCUGUGCCAGCAGCCGCGGUAAUACAGAGGGUGCAAGCGUUAAUCGGAAUUACUGGGCGUAAAGCGCGCGUAGGUGGUUUGUUAAGUUGGAUGUGAAAGCCCCGGGCUCAACCUGGGAACUGCAUCCAAAACUGGCAAGCUAGAGUAUGGUAGAGGGUGGUGGAAUUUCCUGUGUAGCGGUGAAAUGCGUAGAUAUAGGAAGGAACACCAGUGGCGAAAGGCGACCACCUGGACUUGAUACUGACACUGAGUGCGAAAGCGUGGGGAGCAAACAGGAUUAGAUACCCUGGUAGUCCACGCCGU